GGGCCCGUCGUCUAGCACGGUAGGACACCACCCUGACGCGGUGGGGGUCCCCGGUUCAAGUCCGGGCGGGCCCACCA
rnacentral:tRNA from 1 species